rnacentral:rRNA from 1 species
GACGAACGCUGGCGGCGUGCUUAACACAUGCAAGUCGAACGGAAAGGCCCUGCUUUUGUGGGGUGCUCGAGUGGCGAACGGGUGAGUAACACGUGAGUAACCUGCCCUUGACUUUGGGAUAACUUCAGGAAACUGGGGCUAAUACCGGAUAGGAGCUCCUGCUGCAUGGUGGGGGUUGGAAAGUUUCGGCGGUUGGGGAUAGACUCGCGGCUUAUCAGCUUGAUGGUGGGGUAGUGGCUUACCAAGGGUUUGACGGGUAGCCGGCCUGAGAGGGUGACCGGCCACAUUGGGACUGAGGUACGGCCCAGUCUCCUACGGGAGGCAGCAGUGGAGAAUAUUGCACAAUGGGCGGGAGCCUGAUGCAGCAACGCCGCGUGCGGGAUGACGGCCUUCGGGUUGUAAACCGCUUUCGCCUGUGACGAAGCGUGAGUGACGGUAAUGAGUAAAGAAGCACCGGCUAACUACGUG